rnacentral:rRNA from 1 species
GAUGAACGCUGGCGGCGUGCCUAAUACAUGCAAGUCGAGCGAACAGACGAGUAGCUUGCUCCUCUGACGUUAGCGGCGGCCGGGUGAGUAACACGUGGAUAACCUACCUAUAAGACUUUGAUAACUUCGGGAAACCGGAGCUACUACCGGAUAACAUGUUGAAUCUCUUGGUUCAACAGUGUAAGACGGUCUUUCUUUCACUUAUAGAUGGAUCCGCGCCGCAUUAGCUAGUUGGUAAGGUAACGGCUUACCAAGGCAACGAUGCGUAGCCGACCUGAGAGGGGGAGCGGCCACACAGGAACAGAGACACGGGGCAGAGUCCUACGGGGGGCAGCAGUAGGGAAAAUUUCGCAAAGGGCGAGAGAGUGACGGGGAAACGCGGCGUGAGAGAAGAAGGUCUUCGGAUCGUAAAAAUCUGUUAUGAGGGAAGAACAAAUGUGUAAGGAACUAUGCACGUUUUGACGGUACCUAAUCAGAAAGCCACGGCUAACUAGGU